CAGGAUGUGGCUGAGACAGAUAAGCAUUUCCCUUACACCGAAAAGACAUCCAUGCAAAUUGGAUUAUCCUGA
rnacentral:tRNA from 1 species